rnacentral:rRNA from 1 species
GAUGAACGCUGGCGGCGUGCUUAACACAUGCAAGUCGAACGAUGAAGCCCAGCUUGCUGGGUGGAUUAGUGGCGAACGGGUGAGUAACACGUGAGUAACCUGCCCUUAACUCUGGGAUAAGCCUGGGAAACUGGGUCUAAUACCGGAUAGGAGCGCCUACCGCAUGGUGGGUGUUGGAAAGAUUUAUCGGUUUUGGAUGGACUCGCGGCCUAUCAGCUUGUUGGUGAGGUAAUGGCCCACCAAGGCGACGACGGGUAGCCGGCCUGAGAGGGUGACCGGCCACACUGGGACUGAGACACGGCCCAGACUCCUACGGGAGGCAGCAGUGGGGAAUAUUGCACAAUGGGCGAAAGCCUGAUGCAGCGACGCCGCGUGAGGGAUGACGGCCUUCGGGUUGUAAACCUCUUUCAGUAGGGAAGAAGCGAAAGUGACGGUACCUGCAGAAGAAGCACCGGCUAACUACGUG